rnacentral:rRNA from 1 species
UACGAAGGGGGCUAGCGUUGCUCGGAAUUACUGGGCGUAAAGCGCACGUAGGCGGCUUCUUAAGUCGGUGGUGAAAUCCUGGAGCUCAACUCCAGAACUGCCUUCGAUACUGGGAGCUCGAGUCCGGGAGAGGUGAGUGGAACUGCGAGUGUAGAGGUGAAAUUCGUAGAUAUUCGCAAGAACACCAGUGGCGAAGGCGGCUCACUGGCCCGAUACUGACGCUGAGGUGCGAAAGCGUGGGGAGCAAACAGG